AGCGAACGCUGGCGGCAGGCCUAACACAUGCAAGUCGAACGGAUCCUUCGGGAUUAGUGUCGGACGGGUGAGUAACACGUGGGAACGUGCCCUUUGGUUCGGAACAACUCAGGGAAACUUGAGCUAAUACCGGAUGUGCCCUUCGGGGGAAAGAUUUAUCGCCAUUGGAGCGGCCCGCGUCUGAUUAGCUAGUUGGUGAGGUAAAGGCUCACCAAGGCGACGAUCAGUAGCUGGUCUGAGAGGAUGAUCAGCCACCUUGGGACUGAGACACGGCCCAAACUCCUACGGGAGGCAGCAGUGGGGAAUCUUGCGCAAUGGGCGAAAGCCUGACGCAGCCAUGCCGCGUGAAUGAUGAAGGUCUUAGGAUUGUAAAAUUCUUUCACCGGGGAAGAUAAUGACGGUACCCGGAGAAGAAGCCCCGGCUAACUUCGUGCCAGCCGCCGCAGUAACAC
rnacentral:rRNA from 1 species